UGGGGAGUACGGCCGCAAGGCUAAAACUCAAAGGAAUUGACGGGGGCCCGCACAAGCGGCGGAGCAUGCGGAUUAAUUCGAUGCAACGCGAAGAACCUUACCAAGGCUUGACAUAUACGAGAACGCACUGGAGACAGUGAACUCUUUGGACACUCGUAAACAGGUGGUGCAUGGUUGUCGUCAGCUCGUGUCGUGAGAUGUUGGGUUAAGUCCCGCAACGAGCGCAACCCUCGUCCUAUGUUGCCAGCACGUAAUGGUGGGAACUCAUGGGAUACUGCCGGGGUCAACUCGGAGGAAGGUGGGGAUGAGGUCAAAUCAUCAUGCCCCUUAUGUCUUGGGCUUCACGCAUGCUACAAUGGCCGGUACAAAGGGCUGCAAUACCGUAAGGUGGAGCGAAUCCCAAAAAGCCGGUCUCAGUUCGGAUUGAGGUCUGCAACUCGACCUCAUGAAGUCGGAGUCGCUAGUAAUCGCAGAUCAGCAACGCUGCGGUGAAUACGUUCCCGGGCCUUGUACACACCGCCCGUCAAGUCAUGAAAGUCGGUAACACCCGAAGCCGGUGGCCUAACCCUUGUGGAGGGAGCCGUCGAAGGUGGGAUCGGUAAUUA
rnacentral:rRNA from 1 species